CCAUCAACCCAUCAUCUACAUUAGGUAUUUCUCCUAAUGUUAUCCCUCCCCUUACUUCUUUUUUUUUUUUUUUUUGAGAUGGAGUUUUGCUCUUAUUACCCAGGCUGGAGUGCAAUGGCGUGAUCUCGGCUCACCAUGACGUCUGCCUCCUGGGUUCAAGUAAUUCUCCUACCUCAGCCUCCCGAGUAGCUGGGACUACAGGGUGUGCCACCAUGCCCAGCUAAUUUUUGUAUUUUUAGUAGAGACGGGGUUUCACCAUGUUGACCAGGAUGGUCUCAAUCUCUUGACCUAGUGAUCCACCCGCCUCACCUCCUCUUACUUAUAACCCCUGACCGUGCCUGGUGUGUGAUGUUCUUCUCCCUGUGUCUAUGUUUUUUUAUUGUUCAACUCCUACUUAUGAGUGAGAAUAUGUGAUGUUUGCUUUUGUAUCCCUGUGUCUGCAGAAGAAUGAUGGUUUCCAGCUUCAUCCAUAUCCCUGCAAAGGACAUGAACUCAUCCUUUCUUAUGGCUGCAUAGAGUUCCAUGGUGGUGUCAGAAGUAGGAUUCAAAGCAGAGCUUCUAACAACCCCCAGGAGUGCUGAGUGACCAAGCGAGGUAUCUGCUUUGGCCAUUGUGUCCAUUGCUCCCUUGGAGUAAAAAGGGGAUUGUGGUAAGUUUUCUCUUGGAUUCUAAUGCUCUACAGAUUUGGAUUUUGAGCUCCCCAAUAUUUUUUGAGCAAAUUUCUGAUCCAAACUGGGUUAGGAAGUUGAAACAGAAUCUGGACUGGGUCCAGGAUCAGAUUGGAUCUUCUAACUAAG
rnacentral:lncRNA from 1 species